UACGUAGGGCGCGAGCGUUGUCCGGAUUUAUUGGGCGUAAAGAGCUCGUAGGCGGCUUGUCGCGUCGUUCGUGAAAACCUGCAGCUCAACUGCAGGCUUGCGGUCGAUACGGGCAGGCUAGAGUUCGGUGGGGAGACUGGAAUUCCUGGUGUAGCGGUGAAAUGCGCAGAUAUCAGGAGGAACACCGGUGGCGAAGGCGGGUCUCUGGGCCGAUACUGACGCUGAGGAGCGAAAGCGUGGGGAGCGAACAGG
rnacentral:rRNA from 1 species